UACGUAGGGUGCAAGCGUUGUCCGGAAUUAUUGGGCGUAAAGAGCUCGUAGGCGGUUUGUCGCGUCUGCUGUGAAAACCCGAGGCUCAACCUCGGGCCUGCAGUGGGUACGGGCAGACUAGAGUGCGGUAGGGGAGAGUGGAAUUCCUGGUGUAGCGGUGGAAUGCGCAGAUAUCAGGAAGAACACCCGUGGCGAAGGCGGCUCUCUGGAACGCAACUGACGCUGAGACGCGAAAGCGUGGGGAGCAAACAGG
rnacentral:rRNA from 1 species